CAGCCGCCGCGGUAAUACAGAGGGUGCGAGCGUUAAUCGGAAUUACUGGGCGUAAAGCGUGCGUAGACGGUCAUGUAAGUCGGGUGUGAAAGCCCCGGGCUCAACCUGGGAAUUGCAUUCGAGACUGCAUGGCUAGGGUGCGGAAGAGGGAAGCGGAAUUUCCGGUGUAGCGGUGAAAUGCGUAGAUAUCGGAAGGAACACCAGUGGCGAAAGCGGCUUCCUGGUCCGACACCGACGUUCAGGCACGAAAGCGUGGGGAGCAAACAGG
rnacentral:rRNA from 1 species